AGGGCUAUCGAGGCCGUGGAACCUCCUUUGAAUCUU
rnacentral:sRNA from 1 species